GGGAUGACACAGUAGGAUAAGCUAAGCACACUGUUGGUUAUGUGUGCCCAAGCAUUGAGGCAGUCAAAGUAGGCAAAUCCGCUUUGAUAAUGCUGGGAUGUGAUGGGGAGCGAAAUUUAGUAGCGAAGUAGCUGAUUUCACACUGUCAAGAAAAGUCUCUAUCGAGGUUAAAGGUACCCGUACCGCAAACCGACACAGGUGGGUGAGGAGAGUAUCCUAAGGCCAGCGAGAGAACUGUUGUUAAGGAACUCGGCAAAAUGACCCCGUAACUUAGGGAUAAGGGGUGCCACCAUCAGGUGGCCGCAGAGAAUAGGCCCAAGCGACUGUUUACCAAAAACAUAGGUUUCUGCUAAGUCGCAAGACGAUGUAUAGGAGCUGACGCCUGCCCGGUGCUGGAAGGUUAAGGGGAUCUGUUAGAGCAAUCGAAGCAGUGAACUUAAGCCCCAGUAAACGGCGGCCGUAACUAUAACGGUCCUAAGGUAGCGAAAUUCCUUGUCGGGUAAGUUCCGACCCGCACGAAAGGCGUAACGAUUUGGGCACUGUCUCAACAACAGACUCGGUGAAAUUGUAAUUCCGGUGAAGAUGCCGGAUACCUGCGACAGGACGGAAAGACCCCAUGGAGCUUUACUGUAGCUUGACAUUGGGUCUUGGUACUACAUGUACAGGAUAGGUGGGAGGCUUUGAAACCAGGACGCCAGUUUUGGCGGAGCCAUCCUUGGGAUACCACCCUUGUAGUACUGGGACUCUAACCAUAGGCCAUGAAUCUGGUCUUGGGACACUGUCAGGUGGGCAGUUUGACUGGGGCGGUCGCCUCCCAAAAGGUAACGGAGGCGCUCAAAGGUUCUCUCAGUACGGUCGGAAAUCGUACGUAGAGUGUAAAGGCAAAAGAGAGCUUGAUUGCAAGACAUACAGGUCGAGCAAGGAUGAAAAUCGGACUUAGUGAUCCGGUGGUUCUGCGUGGAAGGGCCAUCGCUCAACGGAUAAAAGCUACCCUGGGGAUAACAGGCUUAUCUCCCCCAAGAGUCCACAUCGACGGGGAGGUUUGGCACCUCGAUGUCGGCUCAUCACAUCCUGGGGCUGUAGUAGGUCCCAAGGGUUGGGCUGUUCGCCCAUUAAAGUGGUACGCGAGCUGGGUUCAGAACGUCGUGAGACAGUUCGGUCCCUAUCCGUCGCAGGCGUAGGAAAUUUGAGAAGACCUGUCCUUAGUACGAGAGGACCGGGAUGGACGUACCUCUGGUGUACCAGUUGUCCUGCCAAGGGCAUGGCUGGGUAGCUAUGUACGGAAUGGAUAAGCGCUGAAAGCAUCUAAGCGCGAAGCCAACUUCAAGAUAAGAUUUCCCACCGCAAGGGUAAGACCCCAGAAAGACUAUCUGGUUGAUAGGUCGAAGGUGUAAGUGCAGCAAUGUAUUUAGCUUAUCGAUACUAAUAG
rnacentral:rRNA from 1 species